UAUACAAAGUUGUCCAACUUUCUGUAUAUCUACAGUCCUUUGCUAUACCAUCUGAGUUGAGUGUUAUGACCAGUCAGAGACCAUAUGAGUCAGUGUUUGAACUUGAGACAAUAUGUACUAUGUAAAUGUGGUUGGCAGCAUGGUUUAUCGCCAGUUCCAGGACUGACAAGUAAGAGAAUCUACACCAAUAUACCCUGGUUGUGAAUGGACAGGUGUUCUCAUGUUUUUUGUUGCCUUUAAGAAAUAGUAGUGUCAAGAUAUGUUGGUUUUCCAAUACUAACAGCAGUCAAAUGUUUGGCACAUCUAAACUGCUUUCAGAAGUGGCCGACAUUAAUAUUAGCACAGGAAAUGUUAAAGGCUGUCUUUUAGAACUAUCUAGAGUCCUGUUUAAAAUGGACCUUAUUUUAAUAUUGGUAAGAGAAAGCAGGUAGCUGAACCUUUUUUUAAACUAGCUUUGUAUGUGUGUUGUGUUGUGUAAGGAAUAAAUUCAGGGAAAUAGAAGUAUCAAAAGUCCAAUGGUGGUAAGGACCAAUGCAAGACCCAGUGAGGGCCUUCAGCUCGUAUUGAUGUGGGUGAUAGGUGAAGGUGCUCAGCAUCUUGCAGGAUUGGUCCCAGAAGGAAAAGCAAAGAAAUCACACAAAUAUGUAAAUGUAACAGUGGAUUGUGGUUAAAAUAAAGGCCUAUGGUAUCAAAUGGGGAAAGUAAGGUCAGUGUUAAAAAUGGAAGUUGCAUAUAAUAAAUGAAUACACUUGUUUGACAAUAUUGCAUUCAGGAGAGCGAAAAUGCUUUUAUACAUCAUGAAAUUCGCAAUCUUGUAUCUGACUCCAAUGCAAACCACACCCUGCCUGUGAAUAUUUGUAUAUUCAGAGGCUACCUAAUAGGUCAACUGGAUAAAAUAACAAGCUCUAGCAUUUCUUUUCAAUCAUUUUGUUUCUGACAGAGUUGCUGUGUAUGAAACAUUAGGCCCAAGUUUUUGGAGCUUGUUGACUUUUAAUAUAUACGUACUAAUUUCAUUGGAUUUCAUUCACAGCAGUAAUUUAAGCCAGGGGGUUGAAGGGAGUUGAAACCGGGGAGGGGUGGUGUCAAAGAGAAGUCAGUGGACUCUUAUCAAUAGAAACGUAAUAAAUAUAUAAUAAUAACAAUAAUAAUAUAAUAGUGUAAAUCUUGCUAAAAGAAGAAAAUGCAUCUAUUAUCUAGCAUUCUUUUUGGGUGAUACAUAAAGUGCUGACUAUCCGAAAAUUGUCUUCAGUAAAUCAGUAUUCGUUGCGAUACAUAGUAUCACUUCAGUAACUUAAUUGAUAUACACCAUGGUUAGAAGGAACCUUUGGCUAACAUUGUGGUAUUUUACAUAGUUAAGCUGUGAAACUUUGUAAUUAGAUGUGAUUUGAUCAAUUCACAUUUCUGGAGAAGAAAAUGUAGGCAACUACUACAGGAAGAGUGAUUUAUUUACUACAUGCUAUAGAGAAAUGGGAAGGACCAAUUCAUGUAGACUUACAUUUAGCACUCGUGUUGUUUAGUUAGUGUUAUGUUUCAUGAAUUAAAUGCAGGCUUCUGAAAAGCACUGUAAAUUGUCACCAGAUACCAGUGUCCUCCUACCUUAAAAUCUUGAACACACAUUAUCGUUUUUGUCUGUCAUUCUGUAUAUGUCUAGAUAGAAUAUGGUUGAGAGAGAGAGAGACAAGCAGCCAAACUAAGUACAUAGGUAAUAUAAGGA